rnacentral:rRNA from 1 species
AAGUCGUAACAAGGUUUCCGUAGGUGAACUGCGGAAGGAUCAUUAUUGAAUAAGCUGGUUGGGUUGUUGCUGGCUCUCCGGGGCAUGUGCACAUCUGACACCAACUUUUUACCACCUGUGCACCUUCUGUAGACCUGGAUAAACUCUCGAGGAAACUCGGUUUGAGGACUGCUGUGCGUAAAAGUCAGCUUUCCUUGUAACUUCCGGUCUAUGUUUUUAUAUAUAUACCCCUACAGUAUGUCUAAGGAUGUUUGUUGCUGGGCUUCAAUGCCUUUAAACUUAAUACAACUUUCAACAACGGAUCUCUUGGCUCUCGCAUCGAUGAAGAACGCAGCGAAAUGCGAUAAGUAAUGUGAAUUGCAGAAUUCAGUGAAUCAUCGAAUCUUUGAACGCACCUUGCGCUCCUUGGUAUUCCGAGGAGCAUGCCUGUUUGAGUGUCAUGAAAUUCUCAACCUUUUCAGCUUUCUUUGUUGAUCAGGCGUGGAUGUGGGAGUAUGCGGGCUUCUCAGAAGUCGGCUCUCCUGAAAUGUAUUAGCAGGACCUUUGUUGCCUGGCUUUGGUGUGAUAAUUAUCUACGCCAUUGUGCUCAAGCAGCUUAUAAUGGGGUUUCAGCUUCUAAUUGUCUCUCUUGAGACAACUUCUUUUGACAAUUUGACCUCAAAUCAGGUAGGACUACCCGCUGAACUUAA